UCUGAAUGAAUAUUUGAAAGAUAUAGUAAAAUACAAAGAAAAUAAAAUUCAAGCAUGAAUCCCACAUACAUGUAUUGCAGUGUAUAGUUCACAUAAAAACAAAAAACACAAAACAAUCCUCUGACAGAUUGUAUUUUCCCAAAAUGGCACAGCAAUAUUUCUGUUCUUACAUUCUCCUCUAGAACCUUGCCACUUCCCAUCUGGAGAUAGAAUCUCUUUCCCCUUUAUUUGAACAUAGGUGGGACUUGUGACUCCUCAACCAAUAGGAAAUAGUGGAAUGGAUGCAGUGUGCCUUCUGAGGUUGGGUCAUACAUGGUGACAUAGUUCCUUCUGGCUGCCUCUCAGGAUGUUCACCCUUGCAUUCAGCCACCAUGUGGAGAAGAAGCUCCAAGAGACCAUGGGGAGAAGCCUCUUGGAGAGGCCUGCCUGGAGGAGAAUUAAGAUCCCCAAUCAGUGUAAGCCACCAAAAGUGUAUAUAAGUGAAUGGGAGAAGAGGAAACAGAGAUCACAUAGCAUGCUGGGGGAGAGAGAAAGAUUUGGAGAUCUGAGUUACAGAAGAUUAUGUUUAUGCCAUUGUUCCUUGGAGCUCAUAAGCCAGCUGGUGGACUUUCAAGGAUGCCAGGAGCGGGUGAGGAAGACAACGUCAAUCGGGGGAUCAAAUGGAGACAUGGCUGGAGCUCAGGGGCUUCCAGGACUGAAGGGACAAAUGAAGAUUAUAAGUAAUGGUUGA
rnacentral:lncRNA from 1 species